ACUCCUACGGGAGGCAGCAGUGGGGAAUAUUGCACAAUGGGGGGAAACCCUGAUGCAGCCAUGCCGCGUGUGUGAAGAAGGCCUUCGGGUUGUAAAGCACUUUCAGUAGGGAGGAAGGUAGUGUAGUUAACACCUGCAUUAUUUGUACGUUACCUACAGAAGAAGCACCGGCUAACUCCGUGCCAGCAGCCGCGGUAAGUACGGAGGGUGCGAGCGUUAAUCGGAAUUACUGGGCGUAAAGCGCAUGCAGGCGGCCUGUUAAGUCAGAUGUGAAAGCCCGGGGCUUAACCUCGGAAUUGCAUUUGAAACUGGCAGGCUAGAGUCUUGUAGAGGGGUUAGAAUUUCGA
rnacentral:rRNA from 1 species